rnacentral:lncRNA from 1 species
CGACCGUGAUUAUUAGUCUUCAACUGUGAUUGUAAGGGCCACAGUGGUGAACUAGGACUGUGGUCAUUAAUUUUCAACUAUUAUACUAUAUACCAAACUGAACUAUGUUCCAUUCAUAGUGGUAGUCAAGGAUCCCUUCUACCCUCUAUUGAUAUAAGUUACAAUCAAACUGUAUGAUUGUCUAGCUAUGAUUCCUUGAUUUGAAUAUGUUUCUCACUAUUCUGUUAUGUCAUGUCAUGCUAUU